GUCUGUGGAAGCUGCGGGUGCAACGUGAUUCCCUGGCGGUUACACAACGCUGGAGAGCUGUGCUCGCCACUGCCAGCCGCUCCAGGGCUGACUUCUGAAGAAACAGAAAACAAACAGGACUUGGUGUUUUCCAAAGAGGUGCCUUGGUCAUGGUAUUUUACCACAGCAACAGAAAAGUAACUAAUACUCAUGAGGAACAAGAAUCCAAUCUUUGCUGGAAGACACAGAUAUGACUUUGUUUCUUAGGGAAACAAAGCCAGCCUCAAGGGCCUCUCAUGCACUCUGACUUAUAAGGGUCUGGUUGCUGUUGGCAGCUGGACUGAAAGAAGAAC
rnacentral:lncRNA from 1 species